GACAGAGGAUGCAAGCGUUAUCCGGAAUGAUUGGGCGUAAAGCGUCUGUAGGUGGCUUUUUAAGUCCGCCGUCAAAUCCCAGGGCUCAACCCUGGACAGGCGGUGGAAACUACCAAGCUGGAGUACGGUAGGGGCAGAGGGAAUUUCCGGUGGAGCGGUGAAAUGCGUAGAUCUUGGAAAGACCACCAAUGGCGAAGGCACUCUACUGGGCCAUUACUGACACUGAGAGACGAAAGCUAGGGGAGCGAAUGGG
rnacentral:rRNA from 1 species